AACUGGAAGUAAUGCUGGAAACACAUAAUGGUCAAACGGCUCCAAACAAGGAGAAAUCUGAUCUCCACAGUAAAUUCAAGGACGGAAUAUCAUGCUGGCGGCUGGGGUAUCAGUUCCCCAGGUCCACCCCACCCUCAGCCACUUUCCAAGAGGCCAGAUGGGAAUGACAGAGGUACUCGCCUACAAGCAGUACCUGGAGGUUUGGGGAACUAUGCAGCUGCCUGAAGAUAAUCUCCUAGCAGCAGAUACACAGGCUUUGGAGCCUUCCGUUUCUCACUGGUUUCCAGUGCAGUCGCAGGUUUAGCCUUACAAGGGUAUUGGUCGCCUUGAAGCUGAGGCCACUUUUAAAUUUGAAGUUAAAGAUGUUGGAGAGUGUGUGCCUUCAUUUCGGGGCUGCCCUCUUGCUGACAUUCCUGAAAAAGCAACCUGCUGAGCCGGCUCCCAUCAUCUCAACUUCGAUGGUGAUCCCAGCACUUGGCUAUUAGUUAGAUUGAUUUCUUGAUUUGCCUCAUUAGUAUGGAUACUGGAGUGGAAUUUGAGGGUCUGUGUAAAAGUCACAGCAACAUCUGACCCCUGUACGUGUACAGUUCAAUGUUGAAAUUCGGAAGAUGUUGCGAGAGAUACAAUGUUUGGCUACACAGUGCACUGUUGGAGAUUUUGCUGACAAAGUCAUUGACAGUCAAUAACUGUGCACUUCAUCGAAUUGUGCACUUUUCUCACUGCAAAAGAAAUUAAUGGAAAAUGAAGGUUUCGUUUAGUCAUGAAUUCUUAACAGCAUACUAAGCUUUAACUGUUUCUGCACAACAUCUCUGGCCCUGAAAAGCUAAUUUUGAAAGCUUAGUCUUACUCUCUCAGGAAAAAAAACGUAAAUUUGCAGAUUUUAAACAAAAUAUAAGAAAAGUUUUGUUCUGAUAAUUACGUUUCUCAAAUAACCCCA